UGGGGAAUUUUGGACAAUGGGCGCAAGCCUGAUCCAGCCAUGCCGCGUGCGGGAAGAAGGCCUUCGGGUUGUAAACCGCUUUUGUCAGGGAAGAAAUCUUCUGAGUUAAUACCCCGGGAGGAUGACGGUACCUGAAGAAUAAGCACCGGCUAACUACGUGCCAGCAGCCGCGGUAAUACGUAGGGUGCAAGCGUUAAUCGGAAUUACUGGGCGUAAAGCGUGCGCAGGCGGUUUUGUAAGACAGAGGUGAAAUCCCCGGGCUCAACCUGGGAGCUGCCUUUGUGACUGCAAGGCUUGAGUGCGGCAGAGGGGGAUGGAAUUCCGCGUGUAGCAGUGAAAUGCGUAGAUAUGCGGAGGAACACCGAUGGCGAAGGCAAUCCCCUGGGCCUGCACUGACGCUCAUGCACGAAAGCGUGGGGAGCAAACAGGAUUAGAUACCCUGGUAGUCCACGCCCUAAACGAUGUCAACUGGUUGUUGGGAAGGUUCCUUCUCAGUAACGUAGCUAACGCGUGAAGUUGACCGCCUGGGGGAGUACGGCCGCAAGGUUGAAACUUAAAUGAAUUGACGGGGUCAUAGCUGUUUCCU
rnacentral:rRNA from 1 species